GACGAACGCUGGCGGCGUGCUUAACACAUGCAAGUCGAACGGAGUGGCGAACGGGUGAGUAACACGUGGGUGACCUGCCCUGCACUUCGGGAUAAGCCUGGGAAAAUGGGUCUAAUACCGGAUAGUGUGGGAUGGGCCCGCGGCCUAUCAGCUUGUUGGUGGGGUAAUGGCCUACCAAGGCGGCGACGGGUAGCCGGCCUGAGAGGGUGGACGGCCACAUUGGGACUGAGACACGGCCCAGACUCCUACGGGAGGCAGCAGUGGGGAAUAUUGCACAAUGGGCGGAAGCCUGAUGCAGCGACGCCGCGUGGGGGAUGACGGCCUUCGGGUUGUAAACUCCUUUCACCAUCGACGCGGUAGAUGGAGAAGAAGCACCGGCUAACUACGUGCCAGCAGCCGCGGUAAUUC
rnacentral:rRNA from 1 species